rnacentral:rRNA from 1 species
AACGAACGCUGGCGGCAUGCCUAAUACAUGCAAGUCGAACGAGAUCUUCGGAUCUAGUGGCGCACGGGUGCGUAACGCGUGGGAAUCUGCCCUUGGGUUCGGAAUAACUUCUGGAAACGGAAGCUAAUACCGGAUGAUGACGUAAGUCCAAAGAUUUAUCGCCCAAGGAUGAGCCGGCGUAGGAUUAGGUAGUUGGUGAGGUAAAGGCUCACCAAGCCGACGAUCCUUAGCUGGUCUGAGAGGCUGAUCAGCCACACUGGGACUGAGAAACGGCCCAGACUCCUACGGGAGGCAGCAGUAGGGAAUAUUGGACCAUGGGCGGAAGCCUGAUCCAGCAAGGCCGGGUGAGUGAUGAAGGCCUUAGGGUUGUAAAGCUCUAGUAACCGGGAUGAUAUUGACAGUACCGGGAGAAUAAGCUCCGGCUAACUCCGUG